GUGCAGCAGGCGAGAAACCCUCCGCAAUGCGGGAAACCGCGACGGGGGACCCCGAGUGCCGUGGCAACGCCACGGCUUUUCCGGAGUGUAAAAAACGCUCCGGGAAUAAGGGCUGGGCAAGGCCGGUGGCAGCCGCCGCGGUAAUACCGGCGGCCCGAGUGGUGGCCGCUAUUAUUGGGCCUAAACGCGUCCGUAGCCGGGCCCGUAAGUCCCUGGCGAAACUCCCACGGCUCAACCCGUGGGGCUUGCUGGGGAUACUGCGGGUCUUGGGACCGGGAGAGGCGGGGGUACCCCGUGGGGUAGGGGUGAAAUCCUAUAAUCCCAGGGGACCGCCAGUGGCGAAGGCGCCCCGCUGGAACGGUCCGACGGUGAGGGACGAAGGCCAGGGGAGCAAAA
rnacentral:rRNA from 1 species